rnacentral:tRNA from 1 species
GGGCUCAUAGCUCAGGUGGUUAGAGCGCACGCCUGAUAAGCGUGAGGUCGGAGGUUCGAGUCCUCUUGAGCCCACCA